CCCUACGGGGUGCAGCAGGCGCGAAACCUUUACAAUGCACGCAAGUGUGAUAAGGGAAUCCUGAGUGCUUACCUUUUGGUAAGCUUUUGUUAAGUUUAAAACACUUAGCGAAUAAGUGGUGGGCAAGACUGGUGCCAGCCGCCGCGGUAACACCAGCUCCACGAGUGGCAAUCGUAUUUAUUGGGUCUAAAGCGUCCGUAGCCGGUUUAUUAAGUCUCUUGUGAAAUCAUUGGGCCUAACUCAAUGGUGUGCUUGAGAUACUGAUAGACUAGGGACUGGGAGGAGUCAGAAGUAUUUCUAGGGGAGCGGUAAAAUGCUAUAAUCCUAGAAGGACUGCCUGUGGCGAAAGCGUCUGACUAGAACAGAUCCGACGGUGAGGGACGAAAGCUAGGGGAGCAAUCCGGAUUAGAUACCCGAGUAGUCCUAGCCAUAAACGCUGCGAGCUAGGUGUUGCACAUUCUCCGUGAAUGUGUAGUAUCGUAGAGAAGUCGUUAAGCUCGCCACCUGGGGAGUAUGGUCGCAAGACUGAAACUUAAAGGAAUUGGCAGGGGAGCAC
rnacentral:rRNA from 1 species